rnacentral:rRNA from 1 species
AACGAACGCUGGCGGCAUGCCUAACACAUGCAGGUCGAACGAAGUCUUCGGACUUAGUGGCGCAGGGGUGCGUAACGCGUGGGAAUCUGCCCUUGGGUACGCCAUAACUCAGAGAAAUUUGUGCUAAUACCGUAUAAUGUCUUCGAACCAAAGAUUUAUCGCCCAAGGGUGAGCCCGCGUAAGAUUAGCUUGUUGGUGGGGUAAAAGCCUACCAAGGCGGCGAUCUUUAGCUGGUCUGAGAGGAUGAUCAGCAACACUGGGACUGAGACCCGGCUCAGACUUCUACGAGAGGCAGCAGUGGGGAAUAAUGGACAACGGGCGAGAGCCUGAGGCAGCAAGGUCGUGUGAGUGAUGCAGGCGGUAGGGAUGUAAAGCUCUUUUACCAGGGAUGAUAAUGACGGUACCUGGAGAAUAAGCCCCGGCAACCACCGU